CGCAAGCCUGAUGCAGCCAUGCCGCGUGUGUGAAGAAGGCCUUCGGGUUGUAAAGCACUUUCAGUCGUGAGGAAGGUAGUGUAGUUAAUAGCUGCAUUAUUUGACGUUAGCGACAGAAGAAGCACCGGCUAACUCCGUGCCAGCAGCCGCGGUAAUACGGAGGGUGCGAGCGUUAAUCGGAAUUACUGGGCGUAAAGCGCAUGCAGGUGGUUUGUUAAGUCAGAUGUGAAAGCCCGGGGCUCAACCUCGGAAUAGCAUUUGAAACUGGCAGACUAGAGUACUGUAGAGGGGGUAGAAUUUCAGGUGUAGCGGUGAAAAUGCGUAGAGAUCUGAAGGAAUACCGGUGGCGAAGGCGGCCCCCUGGACAGAUACUGACACUCAGAUGCGAAAGCGUGGGGAGCAAACAGGAUUAGAUACCCUGGUAG
rnacentral:rRNA from 1 species